AUUGAACGCUGGCGGCAGGCCUAACACAUGCAAGUCGAGCGGAUGAAGGGAGCUUUCUCCUGGAUUCAUCGGCGGACGGGUGAGUAAUGCCUAGUAAUCUGCCUGGUAGUGGGGGAUAACUUCCGGAAACGGGCGCUAAUACCUCAUACGUCCUGAGUGAGAAAGUGGGGGAUCUUCGUACCUCACGCUAUCAGAUGAGCCUAGGUCGGAUUAGCUAGUUGGUGGGGUAAAGGCCUACCAAGGCGACGAUCCGUAACUGGUCUGAGAGGAUGAUCAGUCACACUGGAACUGAGACACGGUCCAGACUCCUACGGGAGGCAGCAGUGGGGAAUAUUGGACAAUGGGCGAAAGCCUGAUCCAGCCAUGCCGCGUGUGUGAAGAAGGUCUUCGGAUUGUAAAGCACUUUAAGUUGGGAGGAAGGGCAGUAAGUUAAUACCUUGCUGUUUUGACGGUACCAACAGAAUAAGCACCGGCUAACUUCGUG
rnacentral:rRNA from 1 species